GACGAACCGUGCGAACGUUGUUCGGAAUCACUGGGCUUAAAGCGCGUGUAGGCGGCCAUCUAAGUCGGGCGUGAAAUCCCACGGCUCAACCGUGGAAGUGCACUCGAAACUGGAUGGCUAGAGUCCUGGAGAGGAAGGUGGAAUGCUUGGUGUAGAGGUGAAAUUCGUAGAUAUCAAGCGGAACACCGGUGGCGAAGGCGGCCUUCUGGACAGUGACUGACGCUGAGACGCGAAAGCGUGGGGAGCAAACAGG
rnacentral:rRNA from 1 species